CGCUCACAUCUCUGAUCUCUGGUCCCUAAACUGGCAACGCUCAAGGGUUCCCUAUUUUGAAUAGUGGCAGCACUGGCCAGUGUAGUCACAACAACUCUAGGACUGACAAAUACAAAUUUCUCACAGCUUCGUUCUUCAUUCCGUUAUAAUUUUCAAUCAGUCUUUCUCUUUUCUCGACUAAAAAAAAAAUCGUCAGUGUUUCUCGACACUUGUUUCAUCGCCAGGUGUGGGUCGUGGUGACUUAAAGCUAAUGCAUCGGUCAUAUUGAACCAAGUCAAAAGAAGGCGGUGCAAAAAUUCAAUUAAAGGCCGAAUUCCACGAAAUACCAAUGUCAACUUCAGGGUGAGUAACAGAUUUGGUUACUGGAUUCAUGGAUUGUUGCCAAAACCUUCUUGGCUGAUCAGUUGGCUGCAAUAUGCAUCACCUAAACAGUGAAAAUGACAAAGUUGAGGUAGAACAAGCUGUGCCGCCAACGAGUUCAUCCAGCAAUGGUAACCAUUCCCACCAAGAAGGAGUUGAGAGAGUCCUUUAUAUUUUGUGAUGACCCGGGGACAUCCAAAAAACAAAAGAAACAUCAGAACUCAUCUGAAUCAAAAAUGUCCCUGCUGUGGACUUAUUUCCAGAGCCAGAAGUUCUUGAAUCUAGUUCAAGAGAAGAAAUAGUUAAAACAAAUGGUUUGUUUUAGAUGUUAAUAACAAAGGAAAAUUCCAAUUUUGGAGUCUAGUUAAAUUAAUUCUUUCAGUGAAACAGUCUUGUUGAAACAUAGACAGAGGGGCUGUUAGAAUGUGAGCAAAGGAAUCUGGAAGAGAAAAUCCAAUUCGAAAAAGGGCAAAAGUGGCAACGUACUGAAAGGAGAUAUUAGAGCGCGAAAAAUUUUAAUUCAACGAGUUGGAGCGAUUUAAACGACAGCAGUGGAUCGAGAAGGAGAAGAUCAAGGCAGAGAGCGUCGACAAACAAGUCUUAGACUACUAUUUCAUUGUUUCGGAAAUCCUCCCACGGUAUCCUUCCGUGUUUUGCAAAUGAGUCCUGACCACGUUUCCGGAUCCACAAGAUUGGUUUUCAGCUAGACUUUAUAGUUCUGUUCGUACCACGUCAUGUCCACGGUGGGAUCCAACGUUGGCUUAGGUGACCGUGACGAAAACAUUCUUUUUGAUGCAGUGUGUGGCGAUGCAGUCCACGUUGCUUGUUUAACAAAGGUCUUUCAUUUGAAUGGCCCGAACAAGGUCCUUUUCGUUUUAUUCAUUAUAUGAUACAAACCAUGAGAGAUAUUGGAAUCGAAGGGUCACUCAGAAAGUGCUGCGAAGUGACGCUACGCGUACUUAGACAAGAGGUUGACACCCUUAAUUCUUAGUUUGCUGAAGCCGUUUGCUCAUGAUCCACUUGUAGAAUGAUCAAAGAAAACAGUGAACAAAGGACGCUUCGAUCUUCCGGAGAUUAAAAACGAACAGGCAAUGGAACACGUCGAGAACAUUGAAAUGAGAUUACGAGGUUAUUUACGACAACCAAAUUCGACGAAUGAAAUGACACACCGUCUGUCUUUUGAAGGACAAGUAAAUUAGCUGAUUGCGGAAGCUACCAGAAUGGAUAAUCUUUGCCAAAUGUCGGAUGGGCAGCCUACAUGUGAUCGAGAGCAAAUUAUUCCCUUUUGACUUGCCGUCAAACUCAAAUUUGCCCAAUAGUUCAAAUACGUUCAUAUCUUUCAUUUUUUAAUUUUAAGAAUAAAGAAAUUCAUUGCAUUUUCUGUCUGCAAUCAUCUUUUUAUUAUCCUCCAAUUUAUUUCGGAGACAUGUCUUUUUUUUUAAAUUUCUCUCUUCAUUAUAGUAAACUAAAUUGUGGGCGAUUGUAGGUGUCAGAAAAUUACUUGAGUUUACAUUACACGACUGGUAAAUCAUGGUUCAUGGA
rnacentral:lncRNA from 1 species